UAAAAACUGGAUAAAAACAUUAUAUAUCUACAAGUGCGUUUACUAAAUACAUGUAUUAUUAUGCUAAUGUGAUUUAAUUGAUAAAGUUUUUUUUAUUUAAGAAAAUCUGAGCAUCACUGAAAAUAACUGUCAACAUGUUUGUCAACUAAACAUGUUUUGUAAACGUUAUACAUUUUAUAAAAAUAUUUUAUAUUUUUAUUAUUGAUAAAGUAUAAAGAACAAAUCCGUGUGAAAACGCAGAUUAUAAAAAGUACAUAAGGUGCAAGCAGAGGAUCCAAAAUAAUGAAGAAAAAAAAAACAUUUGAAACAUCCAAUGCAUCUUGGAACUCGUAGUCAAAUUUACAUCUGCAGCAUGUGAACGCCAGGGCAAAAGACUUCAAUUCCCAGAAUGCACCUGCACCCACCCAUUCAUUCCCACCAAUCAGGAUCAACGGCAUUAUUCAAACCGCUACUGAGUGACUCGGUUUUCGUUUUCAUGCUAAACAGUACGGCUGAGGUAAGUUUGACUUUCAUUCCUCUACAUCGCGCAGAUCUGUUCCGUAUUUGUUCCUAUUUUGUUCUUCACUGUGAUUAUUUUUGUCUUUAUGCGAGAAGUGUUUUAAUUUAAAGCACACACAGGAAACAUCACUGUGACGGUACACAGUAACUUAACGUUAAGGUCAUGUACCAUGUGGUCGACCUUGCUGAUGCUGAAGAGGUUUCUGUGUUAAAAUGAUGACAUUGAGACAAACGGACCAGUUCCGGCUGCCGUGGAGGUCAACACACCACUGAUCUACUGGCUGCCCUUCAACGUGAUGCCCAGCCGAUGCCUGACUACCGACGGAACCCGCUAAAUCUCCUUAUCCGUUUACAUCCCAUAUAUAUAUGUGUAUAUCUUUUCCUCCUAGGACUUUUUGUUCCUCCCUGAGGUUUUUCUCCUAGGGGUUUUUCAACCUCGGGGAGUCAACCAACAUUGGCUUAACUUAGCACCCUCUUUUAUACGAGACAUUAUUAAUUUGCUCGCUUGUAAAGUUUAUUCAUAGCCGCUGUAUUUUGCUACUUAUAUUGUCUGUUGAUUUUUCUAUGUUUCCCCUGCUUCUUUUAAUGUAAAGCUGCUUUGAAACAACUACAAAUUGUGAAAAGCGCUAUAUAAAUAAAAUUGAAAUGUCUCUUUCCUGUUUUACAGAUGCAGUGAGGGAGUGAUUUCCCAACAUCGAGGUGGCAGAGAUCCGGGACCUUCUACGGAGGAAGUGCAACAAUGCCAGUUACAAGGCCUCCAGUAGUUCAAAUCAGAGCUAGAUGUGCAUAUAGUACAAGUUGUUCGCAAUUGUUCUCUUCCCGGCAUUUCAAAGAAAGUCGACUGUUUAAGGUUCCCAUUUUGCCAAUAUCUGUUUUGUGUGUUACUUUUGUGUCAAUAAUAAAGAUCCUUUUUUGAAAUGCA